UGUAGUCCUCUUAGAGCUUAUACAGCCAUGUGGACCCUCCCAAAAUUACCAGUGACUCAUUGCAAGGAUGUUUUGCUAUUUGGGAACCUAAGCUGCUUUGGGAGUGGGCCGCUGCAUCAGGAAUAGGUUACUAUUGAUGUUGUUCAGCCCACUGGAAAUCAUUUCCCCGAGAGAUCAGUACUUCACCUCAGUAUGCUGAUUGAGUUAGCCUUCAAAAAUACACAGAAGGAAAUAAAAGCCACAGACAGCUAGCAAAUCCAGCUAAGCCAUGAAUGAGUCAACGUGUCCGCUAAGAUGCAUUGACUUUCCGUCCGUUUACAUUUAGAAACUAAAGAAACAAAAAGGACCUUUCAGUUCAACUCUGUGUUCUAAGUAGAUUUUGUGUCAGCAGCGUGUGGAAUUUCCUUUGGUCCCUUAAUGUUGUCAUAUCGUAUAGACAGCAGCACUCAGAACAGCACAGCAUCACUGCUUCAUGGA